UACAGAGGGUGCUAGCGUUGUUCGGAAUCACUGGGCGUAAAGCGUGUGUAGGCGGUAGUGUGUGUCAUGUGUGAAAGCCCUCGGCUCAACCAAGGAAGUGCACGUGAAACUACAUUACUAGAGUACGAAAGAGGAGGAUGGAAUUCCCGGUGUAGAGGUGAAAUUCGUAGAUAUCGGGAGGAACACCAGUGGCGAAGGCGGUCCUCUGGUUCGAUACUGACGCUGAGACACGAAAGCGUGGGUAGCAAACAGG
rnacentral:rRNA from 1 species